UACGUAGGGGGCAAGCGUUGUCCGGAUUUAUUGGGCGUAAAGAGCUCGUAGGCGGUUUGUUGCGUCGGCUGUGAAAUCCCGAGGCUCAACCUCGGGCCUGCAGUGGGUACGGGCAGACUGGAGUGCGGUAGGGGAGAAUGGAAUUCCUGGUGUAGCGGUGGAAUGCGCAGAUAUCAGGAGGAACACCGAUGGCGAAGGCAGUUCUCUGGGCCGUAACUGACGCUGAGGAGCGAAAGCGUGGGGAGCGAACAGG
rnacentral:rRNA from 1 species